rnacentral:rRNA from 1 species
UACGUAGGCAGCGAGCGUUGUUCGGAAUUACUGGGCGUAAAGCGUGCGUAGACGGUUACAUAAGUCGGGUGUGAAAGCCCCGGGCUCAACCUGGGAAUUGCAUUCGAGACUGCGUAGCUAGGGUGCGGAAGAGGGAAGCGGAAUUUCCGGUGUAGCGGUGAAAUGCGUAGAUAUCGGAAGGAACACCAGUGGCGAAAGCGGCUUCCUGGUCCAGCACCGACGUUCAGGCACGAAAGCGUGGGGAGCAAACAGG